UAAUAACUCCAGAGGAAGACAUGAGAGAUUUAAGUAGGAAGGGGAAAUUCAACAAGAUGCCAUAGGGCUCUCUAAUCUUGAGGAAAGGAAAAAAAAAAAAAAUAAGGCUAUUUUCUGAGCCACGUUAUAAUCUGGGUGUGUACUAUUCUCACAUGCCAGGAUCAUUCCUCCUCUGCAUUUUCCAAAAGCUCAGUAGGAGAUAAGAACACUUUGCUAAAAGUCCUUCUUAUGAACUACUCCUCAGGCAGAUUUGCCCUCAGCUUUUCUUCCAGUUCUACUCAUAAUAAAUAAGAAUUAAAGGGCAAUGAGUUACUCAUUAAUAUAUUUUCUUAAAUUUUAGGCUCUAAGCAACAAUUAUUCUUAUUAAAUAAGGGAAACAAGUUAUACUAUUAGAACACAAAUGGUUUAUAUUUUAGAUUAGCUCCCCCAUAGAAAAUGUAAGACAAAUAAUUAAGGUGUGCAAAACACAUAUACCAAAUAUGAUGUCAAACUGAGAAAAACUGGUCUUCACAGGACAGUUCUAUUCAGAACUAUAGUAACAGUGUCCAGAACCUACAAUUCUCCAAUACUAUAUAAAAAUGUUUAAAUCGCUCAAGGAAAGCUUCUAUUUUGUAUAAAACAUUAUUAGCUAUAUACCCUAACUAUCUGGUAUUCUUAGUAAAGAAGUAUGUCAUGUAAACUAACCAUUCUUGUUUCAAUUAUAAUAACAUCACUUAUGCUGGGCUAUAGCCUUUAUAAUCAUCUUAACAUCAAUACCUAGAUUAACUUUAGUGAAUACUUCAGCCUUUACGAACUUCUGAGAUGACACAGGGAUACGAACAAACUACUCAAAGUUCCAGGGUUUUCUGCUCCUCAGAUAAUGUCUCUGGAGUGCAAAGGUAUUUACAUAUAUUUUCCAUCGAUAUCAUCAUAUAAUGGAGUAUUUGCUAUAUCUAAAGAACAUUUUUCAUCCAGCUACUAUUUUCUAAAUCCCAGCUAUGUGUCCAAGGCAAUGAGGAGAAAUGAGAACUGUGUCCAUCCUUACAAAGUUUAGUCUACUGGAUGACACUGUGUGCCUGAUGCCUGUGUGUCUGUAAUUUACAAUGUUACUGAUGAAAAUGCAGAAGUCCAAAUAACAGAUAAUGGUGAAAUAUAGUAAAAGACUGGGAGAGGCUUUAGCAAUACUGCAUCACUUAUCAUUCAUCUUCAGGUCUGCUUUUAUUUGAGAAUUACAAUUGUUUACCAACUAUCUCCCAAGAUUCUGAGCUUCCCCCUGGGCUCUCCCUUAACCCAGUCCAUCCCAUAUUUACAGGUCUACAUGAUUACAAUAGAGGAGCCUUGAACUCGUGUUUACCUCAAGGUAUAUGCCCUGGGAAUAAAGGCCACACAAAAAAACCCAAUAUGCCUCAUUAAGUGCAUAUCUUACUGGUUUAAAAAAUGAUAAUAGGGAUUAUGAUAAAAUUUUAAAAGGGGAAUUACAGGUACAUGGUUAAAAAUGUAAUGGAAGAUAACAAAACUGGGACAUAAUCACUAUCAACCAGAUAAGAAACCCCAUGACAAGGGGUUCUUUGGCCUUCCACUGGUGUGCCUGCUAACUUUGUGGCCCUUGUUGUCUUACCCUGUACUUCUACCAGUUAAUGCCAAGCUUAGUGGUCACAUCUUAGCGAUGUGACUUAAUCACAUGGAUACCUUCGAUGUUUCUACUUUCAUCACAGGCUGGGGUGUGUGUGUGUGUUUACCUUCCCUUAUAGGUGUUGCUAUUCUAGAUCUAAACCUUUAAGAAAUAUGAAAAGUAUUUUAUUAAUUGCCUCUGUGCAUCUUCUUCGUUCUUAGAGAAGGAAAGUGUGGACUAACUUCAGUGAGCACAUUCCACACAGAAAACCUACAAGGUGCUUAGCACUGUGCUAGGUGCUGUAUCAAUCAGAAAGAAACCAAAUGGCAGCCUGCAGUAUCUUGGUUUAUUAUAGAAGCCAAGACAUACAAAAGGGAAAUAACAGUGUGUAUAAUGAAGAACUAAAUUGAAUAUAAUCAAGUACCAAACUACAAAAGGUAGUGAGUGCCAUAAUCUUCAGAAAGGGGAGCAACUAUUCCUAGAACUACCAUGAAUUUGGGUUAUGGGUGUGGGAGCUCAGCAAGGUGAGAGGACAUUAGAUUUAGAGGUCAAAGCACCAGGCUUAAGUAAAUGCAGAGAUGAGAAAGGAGUCUGAUUCAUGGAAGAGGAGUAGCCACCGUUUAGGAGAAUAUGGUUAAGUUUACUUUGUGAAGGACCCUACGGACCAAGAAGUCUGACUUUGAUCUGAUGAGAAAUGCACUCACUUAGUACCCUUUGGUAGGGAAAGGUGUGGAGUGGUUUUGGCAAGUUAGAACAGGACAAAGAUCAAGGAGUGAGAUCAGCAAAGUCAGAGACCAAUUCACUACUUUGUAAUCAAGAAAAAACAACAAAAAGGAGUCAGAACAAUACUUGGUAUGUCACAAGCAUUCAAUAAAAGUGCUCGCUAUUAUAAAAUAAUUUCAGGGACCAGCAUGGUAAGGCUGGGAAAACAAACAGUAAGAUCUAUUUCAAAAGUACCUGUUUCACAACAUGAGAAAGAUGGACACUCAUAUUUUUUUGGGUCUUACUUUUCUAUCAAGGGCUGAAAAAAGAGAAUGAGCAGUCUUAUAAGGUUAACUUCUAGAUCUUCCACAGAAAAGCAUUUAAAUGCUUUGUGGAAAAUGUGGUUUAUUGGGUAACAUUCCUAACAAGUAAAUUGCUCAUGAGCAAAGUACUCAAAGGUUUGUUGUGGGGGGCCAGUGAUCAUUAACACAUUCUACCAUCAGGUCUCAUACUCGCAGGUAUUCAGAAAAUGUCUUUCCCUCCCUUUUCCUUAUAUUCUCUAACCUGAUCCAACUGUUGAUGGCUUUUAGCAUGUAAAAGAAUGUAAAGCAAGAGUUGGGAGAGUGAAAUAGGAAUGUGAAAAAAAAAAUUUUUUUUAAAUAAGAAC
rnacentral:lncRNA from 1 species